GAGGAUAUAGCUCAAGUAGUAGCGAGCAUGCUUAGCAUGCAUGAGGUCCUGGGUUCAAUCCCCAGUACCUCCU
rfam:Camelus ferus unplaced genomic scaffold scaffold753, whole genome shotgun sequence.